CCUUCUCUCUCUCCUCAUUUCUCUCUCCUCCCGAUUUUUGCUCCAGCCGCCCGACCUUUCCUCCUUCUCCUUGACGCCACGGCCGCCACACUUGGAACCGAUCUCCGCCGUUGGUACCAAACGAACCACCACUCGACCGCCGACGUUGCUUGACCCUUCGCCGGAGUUUCCGUGGCCGGAGCUCGCCGGAAAACUCCAUUUUCGCCGGAUUUCCAGUUUGAACUUUGAGCUCGAUUUUCUCCUUCAAUUCUCCACCAAAUCGAUCUAGUAAGGCACCAGAUGUCCAGUCGACCUGCAGGAAGGACCUUCGAAGGGUCCAAUUAGCUCGGACCAUCAGCCGUAGAAGUACGCAGGAUCCACCACCGGGCCAUCCCUAGCUUCCGCGCCACCAAGUAUUGAGUUUUGUGGAAAAGUUCUUGAAACUCUGUGAACUUUAGAAAAUGCUCUGAUAUCUAGUUUUAGUGGAAAACUGGAGUUGGUGAAUACUUGGUUAUUCUAUUCUGGUAGUUGGUGUGGA